AAUGCCAUCGAGGCAGGCGCAGUGGUAGUCGCUUCCGAGGGCUCCGAAUCUUCCUGCAUUGGUGGUAAGAACCUUGGGCCGCCACCUGCUAUAUGACGCGGAUAUUCUAAAACGGGCGUAAUUGGGAUAUUGUGUUGAGCAUGGGAUUAGAAGAAGCCUUUAUUUGUUCUCAUAAAAUCUCAGCGCUACUUCGUCCAUCAGGCGAUCGAUAAAAUGUCUAAACCAAAAUUCAACCUCCAACUAUGACUUUUGAGGUUUCUGGGUACACCGCAACCUCGCCUCCAGCAAUUGUUGUCGAGGCAGCUCCAGCGGACCCUCACCUCCAGCUUCGGCUGUUGAGGCACUCUUGGUGCGGGAUAGGCACCAGAGUUGCGCCACAACGGAGUGGCCAUGGGACUCGGAAGGAAACCCAAAACAUUUAUUAAACUUGCCGAGAUUAGUAUUGCUUUCAAGAUUGUUUCUAGAAAUUCAGGACGUGGCCCCUUGCAGUCAGUUUAGAGCACACCACCUAUGUUGCUGAAUAAAAUUCCUCAUCCACAUUGAAAGAGAUUUCCUGUUGCUUAAUAAGUUGUUCUGUGUCAAACUGGGUUGGUUGAAUCCUGUUGUCCUCAAAGUGCUAAUCUGCUGAGCAAAUGUCAGAAUCUAGCGAUCCACAUAUUCAUCUACGUAGUAACAACCUUCCAGGCUCGUUGAAAGUGGCUCAAAAUGAUUGAUCCUCAUCCAACAUGGAUGCUACAUGUGAGCUACAUUUUGUUAACCUUCAUGUGACUUGUUGGAGUCACUCGGUGAGGCAAAGCUGUAAACUAGGCUUCUUGGUGGAGAAAGUGAGGCGAAUCUGUGAAACUAAAUUCGUUGACGAAGAGAGGCUCACCAAGGUGGUUCCUAGAAAGGGACUAGUGGGGUCGGGUUCUCGGGGCUAGCAAAUAAUUAUGAUGAGGCCCUCAGGGAACGUAGGGACAAGGAAGAAUACACAGAAGACAGUGGCUAUUAUUCUUGGAGGAGCCGCGGGGAUAGGCCUGGGAAUUGCUUGUUUUCUGUUUGCUAAAUCAACUUUCGGGGAAAAGCCUCCUCCUUACAAGUAUGGUGGAUGAGGUUAGUGUCAUUUUUGCAACAAUUUUCCGUAUUUAAUUUGUGGAUAAAAAAAUACCAAAUGUCGUAAUUGAGUUAUUUCAUAAUUCUGUUAAUUGGAUCACUAAAUUCAUAAUUUUGAUAUAUAAUGAUACAUUGUUUGAUCAACUUGCA